rnacentral:tRNA from 1 species
AGCUUUAUAGUUUAAUUUUAAAACUAUAAUUUUGUAAAUUAUAAAUAUACCAUUACUAUUAAAGCUUC